GUGUAAUGUCAUCGCGAAAAAAGAGGCAUUGUUUACAAAGUGCCUCCACAGUAUUUAACAUUGUAUAGUAUAAGACCAAAGUUCCUGUAUUUUGAAAAAGAGUAAGGUAUUUAAAGCAGGAGUCCCAAGAAGAAGCCCUGUAAGCCCUGAUGUCAUUUUCAGAGUCUUUUGCAGCAAAUUCACCCCAACGGCAGUCCGAAAGCUAAAGCAGGACUUGAAAGUGUUAGCUAGUAUUGGGCCACAGUCUUUCAGAGAUGGAAAAACUGAACAGACUAGCCUCCGAAAAACUGCAUAACCAGCCAUACUCCUCUCUGGAAACACAGGUGCCCUGACAGCAGUACAGGAGCAUUUGCAGUGAGGGCGGCUGAGACUGGACUCAUGUCCUCUAGUGGUAACAUAGUAGCAUCACAGCUAUCAGCUGAUCAGAAAAUGACACCUGCUUUACAGGAGCAGUCUGACAUGGACAUGAGGUUCCUGAUACCCUAUGAAUUUGAACAUUUUCCCUUGUUCUGUUUUUCUCACACAUUUGCUUUUUUUACUCUUAUUUACAAAGUCUAAACUAAAAAGCAUAAAUUUAAAAAAGACUAAAUCAGUGGGACAAAUCAAUUUAUUUCUCAAACAAACAGUUCUGUUCCAAAUAUACAGAGCAAAAAUAAAAGAUACAAAGUCAGAAUUGCUGUAUACUUUAUGUACAGAGCUUCACAACUAAUAUGUACAUUGAUUAUGCACAGCAAGAAAAAAAAAGUGUAACAUCUCUUAUAAAUAAAAUCAGUCACAAUGGAAAUCAUUUAGAUUUAUAUUUCAUUUGUACUGCAUCUGUUAUUAUUAUUAUUAUUAUUACCCCAAGCAUGGAAAGCAAUUCAAUUUAGUACAUUAAGUAAUUUAAGGGGCAUAAUUGCUCUUAUUUUGUUGUAUAGGAUGUUCACACAUAUAAUUUGUCAACUGAUAUAAUAAUACAUUUGUCAAAGCUCAUGUUAUGAACUGUGUUAAUUCUUUCUUAAAUGAGAGUGUUCUGUUGUUUUAGGAUAAUUGAAGAUGAGAUCUACAUUUCAUUGGAAGGCACAAGCUAUGCCUCCAUGCUAGGCACUUAAAUCAAAAUAUAUACUAGGAUUUUUAUACCUAUUAAACACUAUGUAACUCAUAAUCUGAGUCUUUGCAAUGGAGAUUGUCUUCCUUUGGGAACAUAUGAGACUUUUGUUUGGGUAUGUAUAAAUAAACGAUUACGAGAAAUUUUGAAAAUGCCUGAUAUUUAGAUACACACUUAACAGAAAACUCACUGCAUCAGAAAACAAACAUCUAUUCAAACAGGAAGUACCAACGGAAAGGUGCUAAAUUGCUCUACUGCAUUUGAAUAGUCAAAAUUAAGUCACAUGGUCAGAGACUCCAGACCACUGGAACUGUUAUCACCUCACUGAAAUUUGCUGCACACACACGAAAAUAAUUAACACACAAUUGUCACACAAACACUUGGUCAGGUUUUAGGCAUUUCUGUGUGGAAAGCAAUAAAAAAAAAACAAAUUACCUUUGCUGCUUGAUAAUUUUCCUGCUUUUAAAACAACUAAAAAAACAGCACAAAUGUUGAAAGCUACGAAAUUUGAUUCGGGGAAAAUGGGCACAUACUACUACUGUUUUCUAUUUUACAAGCAUUUGCAUCAUUUCUUAGCUCAUAAAAAUAUUUAUUAAA